GCGGCCGCGGCUGGGUGUCUUUUGCGAACACGUUUUUCGCCUUUUACUAAAAGCGUCCAAGCACCCAGUCGAUUCAACUGGCCUUUUCGAAUUUUUGCAACCGACUUUGUGUCCACU
rfam:Allomyces macrogynus ATCC 38327 genomic scaffold supercont3.41, whole genome shotgun sequence.